UACGGAGGGUGCAAGCGUUAUCCGGAUUUACUGGGUUUAAAGGGUGUGUAGGCGGACUAUUAAGUCAGGGGUGAAAUCCCGAGGCUCAGCCUCGGAACUGCCUUUGAUACUAUUAGUCUUGAAUGUUGUUGAGGUGGGCGGAACGGGUCAUGUAGCGGUGAAAUGCAUAGAUAUGACCCGGAACACCGAUUGCGAAGGCAGCCCGCUAAGCAACUAUUGACGCUGAGGCACGAAAGCGUGGGGAUCAAACAGG
rnacentral:rRNA from 1 species